rnacentral:rRNA from 1 species
CAGGCCUAACACAUGCAAGUCGAACGAAGGCUUCGGCCUUAGUGGCGCACGGGUGCGUAACGCGUGGGAAUCUGCCCUGGGGUACGGAAUAACUCAGAGAAAUUUGAGCUAAUACCGUAUGAUGACGUAAGUCCAAAGAUUUAUCGCCCUGGGAUGAGCCCGCGUAGGAUUAGCUAGUUGGUGGGGUAAAGGCCUACCAAGGCGACGAUCCUUAGCUGGUCUGAGAGGAUGAUCAGCCACACUGGGACUGAGACACGGUCCAGACUCCUACGGGAGGCAGCAGUGGGGAAUAUUGGACAAUGGGCGAAAGCCUGAUCCAGCCAUGCCGCGUGUGUGAAGAAGGUCUUCGGAUUGUAAAGCACUUUAAGUUGGGAGGAAGGGCAGUAAGCUAAU